rnacentral:lncRNA from 1 species
GUCCUCAUUUCUAUUUCACAAAUCAUUGAUGUGACUUAACUCAUUGCAUUCUGAGCUAAAUGAAACAGUAUAAAUAUAAAUAACACAAGUCCAUGGACUAUUCAUUUAGAUUUUGGAUACUGAAAGAUCUGAAUAAAUUUCACCUACAACAGAGCCCUGAAAGUGGGAUUUUUCUAUUUUAAUAGUCGUGUUAUUCUUCGAUGUCACUUCAGUCACAGCUAUGAGUUGAAUCUUAUAGCAUUAUGAAUGUUAUAUAGGGAUAAAAAGUUGUGUUAUUUGUAGCCAACAGGGACCAUUAUGUAUCCCAUCCAUACUCUUGAUGAUUAGAACUCGGUGAUGAUGGCCAUCUAGUGCUGCUCAUCACACGUGGUCUGACAGUAUAUUUUGACAAACUGAAAGUAAAACAAUUUAGAGAUGACCUAAGCACUCUGGCAUUGUGUUAAAGACGGUGGGGAGAAAUGGGGAAUUGAUUGAAAGAAUGGAAAAAAUAACUUCACUGAUGGCCGAAAAUAUGAAUGAAACACCGAUACAAAGUUCAGUUUAUAUGCAUGAUUUAUUAGUUGACUAAGCACUCCUGUCUACUGCUAUGUAAUGGUCCAUAUUNNN